rnacentral:rRNA from 1 species
AUAGCGAACAAGUACCGUGAGGGAAAGAUGAAAAGAACUUUGAAAAGAGAGUUAAAUAGUACGUGAAAUUGUUGAAAGGGAAACGAUUGAAGCCAGUCGUACCUGCGGAAAAUCAGCCUUUCGAGUGUGAUUCUGUGGAGCGUGAGGAGUUAAACGCCUUCAUGCCUGCUUAUUCGUGUACUUUGUUUGUACUUGCCUGUGCGUAUGGUUAACCUAAGUUUGGGUUAUCUAAAAUUGAAUGAAGGAAGGAAUGUUCCUU